CCUACGGGAGGCUGCAGUGAGGAAUAUUGGUCAAUGGCCGGAAGGCUGAACCAGCCAUGCCGCGUGAAGGUCAGUGCCCUAUGGGCGUUAAACUUCUUUUGUGCGGGAGCAAUAAUGGUCACGUGUGGCCAGACGAGAGUACCGUACGAAUAAGCAUCGGCUAACUCCGUGCCAGCAGCCGCGGUAAUACGGGGGAUGCAAGCGUUAUCCGGAUUUAUUGGGUUUAAAGGGUGCGUAGGCUGUGAGGUAAGUCAGCGGUGAAAUGCCCCCGCUCAACGGGGUGAAGUGCCAUUGAUACUGCCUUGCUGGAAUGCGGAUGCCGUGGGAGGAAUGUGUGGUGUAGCGGUGAAAUGCAUAGAUAUCACACAGAACACCGAUUGCGAAGGCGGCCGCCUGGCCUGUUGCUGACGCUGAGGCACGAAAGCGUGGGGAGCAAAUAGGAUUAGAUACCCCUGUAGUC
rnacentral:rRNA from 1 species